rnacentral:rRNA from 1 species
UACAGAGGGGGCGAGCGUUGUUCGGAAUUACUGGGCGUAAAGGGCGCGUAGGCGGCCCGCUAAGUCGAACGUGAAAUCCCCAGGCUCAACCUGGGAACUGCGUCCGAUACUGGCAGGCUUGAAUCCGGGAGAGGGAUGUGGAAUUCCAGGUGUAGCGGUGAAAUGCGUAGAUAUCUGGAGGAACACCGGUGGCGAAGGCGGCAUCCUGGACCGGUAUUGACGCUGAGGAGCGAAAGCGUGGGGAGCGAACAGG